AGAGUUUGAUCCUGGCUCAGAACGAACGCUGGCGGCGCGUUUUAAGCAUGCAAGUCGAACGGUAAUAGAGUGCUUGCACUCUAUGAGAGUGGCGAACGGGUGAGUAACACGUAGAUAAUCUGCCUUUGGAUUGGGGAUAGCAUAUGGAAACAUGUGGUAAUACCGAAUAAGCUCCUAGCAACAGAAGUUGUAUGGAGGAAAGGUGCUUAGGCACCGUCCGAAGAUGAGUCUGCGGUUCAUUAGCUAGUUGGUGGGGUAAAGGCUUACCAAGGCAACGAUGAAUAGCCGGCCUGAGAGGGUGGACGGCCACACUGGGACUGAGACACGGCCCAGACUCCUACGGGAGGCAGCAGCUAAGAAUCUUCCGCAAUGGGGGAAACCCUGACGGAGCGACGCCGCGUGAACGAUGAAGGCGGAAACGUUGUAAAGUUCUUUUCUUGGGGAGGUAUAGGUCUAUCAGGUAAUGGGUGGAUGAU
rnacentral:rRNA from 1 species